ACGGGGUGCAGCAGGCGCGAAAACUUCACAAUGCGGGAAACCGUGAUGAGGUAAAGCUGAGUGCUACCUUCACGGGUAACUGUUGCUCGCCGUAAACACGCGAGUGAGGAAGGAGAGGGCAAGGAUGGUGCCAGCAGCCGCGGUAAAACCAUCUCUCCGAGUGGACUGCUAUAUUAGGCUUAAAGCGUGCGCAGCCUGGCAAGGUAGUCUCUGGUGAAAUCUAACCGCUCAACGGUUGGAACUGCUGGGGAAACCACUUGCCUUGGGAUAGGAAGAGGGUGAAGCUACUACAAGGGGAGCGGUGAAAUGCAUAGAUCCUUGUGGGAGCACCUGUGGCGAAAGCGUUCACCUGGUACUAAUCCGACGGUCAGGCACGAAAGCUAGGGGAGCAAAACGGAUUAGAUACCCGUGUAGUCCUAGCCGUAAACGAUGCCCCUUAAGUGUCAGGAAAUUUUAGGUUUCCUGGUGCUGACGUGAAAACUCUAAAGGGGCCGCCUGGGAGUACGUCGCAAGAC
rnacentral:rRNA from 1 species